rnacentral:rRNA from 1 species
AUUGAACGCUGGCGGCAGGCCUAACACAUGCAAGUCGAGCGGAUGAAGGGAGCUUGCUCCUGGAUUCAGCGGCGGACGGGUGAGUAAUGCCUAGGAAUCUGCCUGGUAGUGGGGGAUAACGUCCGGAAACGGGCGCUAAUACCGCAUACGUCCUGAGGGAGAAAGUGGGGGAUCUUCGGACCUCACGCUAUCAGAUGAUCCUAGGUCGGAUUAGCUAGUUGGUGGGGUAAAGGCCUACCAAGGCGACGAUCCGUAACUGGUCUGAGAGGAUGAUCAGUCACACUGGAACUGAGACACGGUCCAGACUCCUACGGGAGGCAGCAGUGGGGAAUAUGGGACAAUGGGCGAAAGCCUGAUCCAGCCAUGCCGCGUGUGUGAAGAAGGUCUUCGGAUUGUAAAGCACUUUAAGUUGGGAGGAAGGGCAGUAAGUUAAUACCUUGCUGUUUUGACGUUACCAACAGAAUAAGCACCGGCUAACUUCGUG